rnacentral:rRNA from 1 species
GACGAACCGAGCGAACGUUGUUCGGAAUCACUGGGCUUAAAGGGCGCGUAGGCGGGCUGUCGCGUCCGGGGUGAAAUCCCGCGGCUCAACCGCGGAACGGCCUCGGAUACGGGCGGCCUCGAGGGGGGUAGGGGCAUCUGGAUCUGUGAGUGGAGCGGUGAAAUGCGUUGAUAUUCACAGGAACUCCGGUGGCGAAGGCGAGGUGCUGGACCCCAUCUGACGCUGAGGCGCGAAAGCCAGGGGAGCGAACGGG